CCAGAAUCUCUGUCUACCGACUGCUGUUCUCGGAACCCGUGCCCUUGGCUGCCCCUCCUGCGCUGUGCCAAAGCGCCAGAGUGAUUUCAAACGCACAGUCGUUUUGUUUAAAGCCGUGACCGACGAAGCACGAAGAAGGAAGAAAGGGCAGGCAGCUGACUGAAAAACUGGUUGCCUGUGAACCUAGCCCUAUUGCUGGGGGCGGAGGUUGGAUACUGGGGACUUUUGAGGAAAUACCAACGUCCCUGCCAAAGAAAGGGGCCAGAGGCACGGAAUCUCCCUAUUUCCCGUGUAAUAGAUGUUGUUCUAUGUUUUUAUAGCUAAUGUAUUUCGGAAAUGGCCCGCGAGGGACUUAAGGACAUGGAUUUGCCCUUAAUUCGCCUGAGUUACGAAUUUAAUUCAGCUGCUUCCUUGAGACCAAGUGACAGACGACCCACAAGUGAAGAUUUUGCCGCACUGGCUUGAACAAACCCCUGCGAAACAGGACGAUGUCAUAAUCUCAAGCACUCUGAAAUUAAAACUCCUCAAUUCCGCCAGAUUACACUCAUUCGUUAAAGAGGUGCCCCCCAAAGAAAAGAGGAUAACCGUGUAUCCCACUUUUAGAAGGAGCCAGCUAUAGCCUUCAUGUUUUCCUGCCAGACUCCAGCCUCCAUGACCUUCCCUGAGUUCCAAAGGGCAGAUUCCAACAGUUGCCAAUCAAGGGAGGAGUGGCCAAGAAACCACCUGAGGGGAGAUUAAAGGGACCAGAGAAGCUCAUCAAGCCUUGAUGCUGUAUUUGAUGUGUAGGAGAAGCGGGUGCCCUUCACUAGGGAGCCACACACGCACUCAGUCCAGGAUUUGGAGAAAAUGGAGGAGGAGAUCUGCCAGGAGGUGGAGUGGAUUCGUUUCCUGGGGCUGCCAUGACCACAAAUUGAGUGGCUCAGAACAACAGAAAUGU